CCUUUCUACCUGCUUGGCAUUGCCAACCCAGAAGGUCACAGAGUGGAAAUGGAGAAAUCGGCCUCGCUCGGGCUGCAGGAGGGAGAAGAAGGAGGUUGGAUCCCAGGAUGGAAUUUGUCCUUGCCUCCUUUCUCCAGUCUCAGUCCCCAAACCUAGGAGAAUGUCACCCACCACCUGCAUCUUUGUCUAGCCUCCAAAGACUUCUCUUGCUAGAGGAUUUGAGCUCCUUGAGAGUUCAGAAUUGGGGAUCCCCCAUAGGAGGCCUGCCCAGGGUUCUCAGAAGGAAAUGAGCUCAUGUGGGAACGGCAUGGGUGUCAGGGAGACCACAGAAAAAACCUGAACAGGGGUGCGAAGCUGCAUGACUGGGAGCAGGAGUAGGAAAAGCUGGUUGGGAAGCUGAUCCAGCCUGGAACACAUCAAAGGAGUUUCCUCUCCACUCUGACCAAACUGCUUUGACAUCAGUAGUUCCAUUGCUUGCAUAAGGUGAGGGUGAAGUUACUCAAGACCAACCAUUGAUCCCCUCCCAGCUAAACCUGUGCCCUUGCCAUCCAGUGUCCCCGGGCUUGCAAAAAAUUCUCCCAUGGUUGCAUUUGGAGUGCUGACUUUCAAUUUGUCAAGGGCAAUGGGGGAAUUCAUGGUUAGUCUCUGAUUUGCUGAGUUGACUUUAAUACAUCAUGUAACCUCCCUUAA